rnacentral:sRNA from 1 species
ACCAGGUGCAGUGGCACACACCUGUAAUCCCAGCAGCUUGGGAGGCUGAGGCAGGAGGAUCAUGAGUUCAAAGCCAGCCUCAGCAACUGAGGCCUUAAGCAACUUAGCAAGAUCCUGUCUCAA